rnacentral:rRNA from 1 species
UACGUAGGGGGCUAGCGUUGUCCGGAUUUAUUGGGCGUAAAGAGCGUGUAGGCGGCCAGAUAGGUCUGCUGUGAAAACUCGAGGCUCAACCUCGAGCUGUCGGCGGAAACCAUUUGGCUAGAGUCCGGAAGAGGAGAGUGGAAUCCUGGUGUAGCGGUGAAAUGCGCAGAUAUCAGGAAGAACACCUAUGGCGAAGGCAGCUCUCUGGGACGGUACUGACGCUGAGACGCGAAAGCGUGGGGAGCGAACAGG